UACGUAGCAGCGAGCGUUGUUCGGAGUUACUGGGCGUAAAGAGUGCGUAGGCGGUUUUCUAAGUUUGGUGUGAAAUCUCCCGGCUCAACUGGGAGGGUGCGCCGAAGACUGGAAGGCUUGAGUAUGGGAGAGGUAAGCGGAAUUCCUGGUGUAGCGGUGAAAUGCGUAGAUAUCAGGAGGAACACCUGCGGUGUAGACGGCUUACUGGACCAUAACUGACGCUGAGGCACGAAAGCGUGGGUAGCAAACAGG
rnacentral:rRNA from 1 species